GACGAACGCUGGCGGCGUGCCUAAUACAUGCAAGUAGAACGCUGAAGGAGGAGCUUGCUUCUCUGGAUGAGUUGCGAACGGGUGAGUAACGCGUAGGUAACCUGCCUGUUAGCGGGGGAUAACUAUUGGAAACGAUAGCUAAUACCGCAUAAGAGUAGAUGUUGCAUGACAUUUGCUUAAAAGGUGCAAUUUCAUCACUACCAGAUGGACCUUCGUUGUAUUAUCUAGUUGGUGGUGUAACGGCUCACCAAGGCGACGAUACUUAGCCGACCUGAGAGGGGGAACGGCCAAACUGGGAAUGAGAAAAGGCCCAGAAUCCUAAGGGAGGCAGGAGGAGGGAAUCUUUGGCAAUAGACGGAAGUCUGAACGAGGAAAGCCGGGUGAGGGAAGAAGGUUUUCGGAUCGUAAAGAUCUGGUGUAAGAGGAGAACGAGUGUGAGAGUGGAAAGUGCACACUGUGACGGUAUCUUAUCAGAAAGGGACGGCUAACUACGUG
rnacentral:rRNA from 1 species